rnacentral:rRNA from 1 species
UUAGAUACCCUAUUAUACUAAUAAUAAUUCAGAUUAUUAAUAGAUAUAAUCUUUAAACUCGAAGAAUUUGGCGGUGAUUUAGACUUGUUAGAGGAACCUGUUUUUUAAUCGAUACACCACGUGAAAUCUUACUCAUUUUAUUAAGUUUGUAUACCUUCAUUAUCAGAUAAUUUUUAUAGAAUAAAUUGUUAAAAUUUACACUAAAUGUAAACUAACUUAGAUCAAGGUGCAGCCUAUAGGUGAGUUAAAAUGGGUUACAAUAAAAUUUAUUUAUUAUGAAUUGGUAUGAGAAGUAAUACCAGGAAGGAGGAUUUAAUUGUAAUUAAAGUUUAAUAAGUUUUAAAGGUAUGAGCUCUAGAUCAUGUACAUAUCGCCCG